rnacentral:rRNA from 1 species
CCUGGGGAGUACGGUCGCAAGAUUAAAACUCAAAGGAAUUGACGGGGACCCGCACAAGCGGUGGAUGAUGUGGAUUAAUUCGAUGCAACGCGAAAAACCUUACCUACCCUUGACAUGGCUGGAAUCCCCGAGAGAUUGGGGAGUGCUCGAAAGAGAACCAGUACACAGGUGCUGCAUGGCUGUCGUCAGCUCGUGUCGUGAGAUGUUGGGUUAAGUCCCGCAACGAGCGCAACCCUUGUCAUUAGUUGCUACGAAA